CUUCCCAAAGCAGCGCUUGGAAUGGACAGAUCGGCAACAGGCCCAGAGAGGGGGUAGUCCUCUGGACCCGGCAGACCCAGAAGCAGCCUGACUGGAUACCCGCCCCAUCAUCAUCGACGGUAGCUACUGAGCUCCCACUGGGAGCAGAGAACUUGACUGAGUGUCCCCCGCAUGCCGGGGACUGUCCUGAGCAUCCACUGCAGGCAGAACUUGUAUUAGACACCUGCUUUGGGCUGUGGGCUAUGAUGGGGGCCCACGGGGUGCAGAGCUGGGCACCUGCUGUGUGGCUGAGAAAUAACAAUAAAGGAAAAAAGUCCUCGUUUCUGCUUUCAA